AAAAAUGUCGAUAUUUUCCUUGAGUAAUACCGCUCCAAGGAACGGUUUGAAGGGAAAGACUCAAUGAAGCCUCCUCAUAAUCCAGGAUGGCAAAUUCUGGCUGAAAACAAUUCAGGACAACAGGAUGCGGACAAGACCAAACAAAUGGAGACAGUUACUUUUUACAAGCUCCUCCUUUGUUAGUUUACUGAUAUAGUUUGGAUGAUCAUUGAAACUAUUGCAACUAUCGGCAAUGGAUUGUCCCUGCCCAUUAUGACGAUUCUUUUUGGAGAAUGGACCGACUCCUUCAGACAAAAUCAAAAUAACAAAGAUGUGCUUGCGGUUUCAUUGAAAUUUGUCUACUUAGCUUUGGGAUGUUAGGCAGCUGCAUUUCUUUAGGUCCCUUGUUGGAUGAUCUCUGGUGAAAGACAGCCUUCUCGAAUAAGGAGUCUAUCUGAAAACUAUUUUGCAGCAAGAUUUAGCUUUCUGUGAUAAGGAAACCAAUAUGGGAGAGGUGGUGGGGCGCAUGUCUGGUGACGCUGUUCUUAAACAAGACGCAAUGGGCGAGUAGGGAAAUUUGUACAGCUGAUAUCAACGUUCUUUGCGGGCUUUGUCAUUGCAUUUACUAAAGGCUGGCUUCUCACACUUGUUAAGUUAUCCAUCAUUCCUCUACUUGUCAUCUUUGCUGGAGUGAUGUCCCUCAUCCUAUCUAGGAUGGAGUCCCAUGGAUAAGAUGCUUAUGCCAAAGCAGCAACGGUGGUUGAACAGACAAUUGGCUCCUUUAAAAUGGCUGCAUCUUUUACAGGGGAGAAGCAAGUUGUGGCCAGCUAUAACGAGUCCCUAAUUAAAGAUUACCAUUCAGGUUCAAAUGAAGGGCUGGCAAGUGGAUUAGGUCUUGGGUCACAUUUUGCUAUUAUGUACUCCAGCUAUGCGAUGGCUAUCUGGUACGGUGCAAGGUUCAUCUUGGAAAAAAGAUAUAUUGGUGGUCAAGUUCUCAAUGUUUCCGACGCGAAGCUUCUCCAUUAAGUAGCAAGGGAUUUACUUUUUAAGGGAGAGUUUUCUGCAAAAAGGUGUGAUGCUGGUGGCGAAUUGGCGAUGCAUGAGAGGAAUGUUGAAGCCACAGGAACUUUCUGUUUAGACGGCUUUUGCUGCAGGAUGUAGAACUCCCGAAAAUUGGAGAAGUGUAAGAGCAAUGGGGGCAGUUAGGCUUGUUUUCAAUUUGAAGCUGAAGUGCCAGAAAACAAUACUACAAGAAAGGCUCUAUGCCUAUUCCUAACUUCUGAUGUAAGUGCUUAAAAGUUGAAACUGAAGAAAGUUGAAGAGAAGUGGAACCCCUAUUCUUCACGGCUCAGAUCGUUUACUUAUGUAUUUGAACAUUUGGAGAAGAGCGUGAAAGUGACAUGCAAGAAGGAAGAAAUAAGAAUAAAACUGGAAAUAAACCUGUUUUCUCUUUCAGUUUGAUAGUGAGAUUUCAUUUAGUUUGUACCAUAGUGCUAUGUUUUUUUUUAAAUGAGAAUACAUAAAGGUAUGAUUAGCACUCCCUAAAUCAGCACCACUUUUUUAAGGGUCACCAAUUGGUUUGAUCUAUGCUAUCUUUGUUUAUCUCGUUAAGUAUAUAUUGACUUUAAGGAAGUUUUAUGUUGUGCUUGAUUGGUGGGACAUCAC